CAACAGCGAACAUGCUGAGCUGCUUCUCCACUUUGAGAGGCUGAAGCCUCAGGACCCCAGGUCGAGAAAGUAUCUGUGAAUGAUUAAGACUCCAUCCAGAUGGUGUAGACCAUGCUGUAGCAGCCACAGGACUGUCACAGACACCCCAGGGAUGGUCUCCCCAGGAGUGAUCACCAGUGACCUACCAAAAUCAAGGUAAUGUCCUCAAGGUCUAUCGGGCACAGCAUUGGCACAACUCCAGUGCAUAAAACCCUGUGUAAUUCAAGAUGUCCUGCUCUGAAUUCCAACUGUGUCCUCAUUCCCUGAAUAUUGUCAAUGGAUCAAACUCAGGACUUGCACUUGUGAGGCAGGCGGCAGAACCACUGAGCUAAAUC